rnacentral:rRNA from 1 species
AUUGAACGCUGGCGGCAGGCCUAACACAUGCAAGUCGAGCGGAUGAAGGGAGCUUGCUCCUGGCUUCAGUGGCGGACGGGCGAGUAAUGCCUAGGAAUCUGCCUGGCCGUGGGGGAUAACGUCAGGAAACGGGAGCUAAUACCGCAUCCGUCCUGAGGGAGAACGUGGGGGAUCUUCGGACCUCACGCUUUCUGCUGAGCCUAGGACGGAUUAGCUAGUUGGUGGGGUAAAGGCCUACCAAGGCGACGAUCCGUAACUGGUCUGAGAGGAUGAUCAGUCACACUGGAACUGAGACACGGUCCAGACUCCUACGGGAGGCAGCAGUGGGGAAUAUUGGACAAUGGGCGAAAGCCUGAUCCAGCCAUGCCGCGUGUGUGAAGAAGGUCUUCGGAUUGUAAAGCACUUUAAGUUGGGAGGAAGAGCAGUAAGUUAAUACCUUGCUGUUUUGACGUUACCAACAGAAUAAGCACCGGCUAACUUCGUG